rnacentral:lncRNA from 1 species
CAAAUCUUACCUCAGGAGAUACUUCAUCCAACAUCUCCCCCCCGAAGGUAAAUAUAUAAUUGGGUUACCAUGCCCCUCUCAUAGGCAGUCCACGAAAACUUCCACCAAAACCAUAAAAUUUUCAGUAGCAUAAUUGACGAAUAAAAUUUAAUCCAGUCUACCAAGACCAAUCCAAAACUGUUCAUAUAUUUCAUGCCAACCUUAAAAAUUUAGCCAUCAUGCUACCAUAGUGUCAUAAGCCACAAUUUCAAUAACAUAUAAAAUCAUAAAUUUCAACACAGUCUCCAUAUACUC